UGGCCUAGGCUGCUAAUGCCUUCUGCAACUGUAAAAUUUGGCUGCAGCCACGCAAUCCAAUACUGGUGAGAAAACACAGAGGUUUUGCCUGCCAUUGCAAUGAGCAAAAGAAGAAGAAGAUAAAUAACCAGGGCAUGAAGAUAAAUAAGACAUUGGAAAGAUCUCCCUCUCAAGCCAUGUAACAAAUUGGAAUGUUACAUGGAAACUAUAGAUGUUGUUGUCCAGCCAUUCAUUUGCCGUGACGCUGCAUACUAUGACCUGUGUUAGCUCCAAGCAAAAAACCUUCUGUCAUAAGGAAUUC
rnacentral:lncRNA from 1 species